UACGGAAGGGGCAAGCGUUGUUCGGAAUCAUUGGGCGUAAAGGGCGCGUAGGUGGUUCUGUAUGUCUGCCGUGAAAGCGUACGGCUCAACCGUAUUUAGUCGGUAGAAACUGCAGGACUUGAGGCUGGGAGGGGCUGGUGGAAUUCCCUGUGUAGCGGUGAAAUGCGUAGAGAUGGGGGAGAACACUCGUGGCGAAGGCGGCCAGCUAGACCAGUUCUGACACUGAGGCGCGACAGCGUGGGGAGCAAACAGG
rnacentral:rRNA from 1 species